GAAGGUGGUUGGAGGUGGGCUUGGGGAGCUCCAAUUUAAUAUUUUCCCUUUCACUACAUUCAGUAAAGGAUCAGGUAGUAGUAUGUUAAGCAGCUGUGUCUCCUGAAUAAGGUGGGGUGUUGUCCCAGGUGUGAGAUGAGGAAAAGAGCCAUUGAGUUCGCACUCCAACAUUUUGAACAGUAGUUCAUAUUAUCCUGAUUUGAAUCAGCAUGGAUUUAGUCCAUUCAUCCCCUCAUUUUGUACCUACAUCAAUGCUGUUGGGAAGCAGUCUAGGCUUGUGCAGGCUAUGCACCUUCUGGUGGCCAAAAGGGAUACCACAGACUUUGGAGAGCUCAUCCUUUGCCCCUUUGGUUCCAGUAGAGUCCCAUCUGAUGGAGGUGUGCUUUGCCCAGGGUAACAUUUGUUGUGAUGGUGAAGAACUGAACCCCAAUCUCUUGACCUAAAAUUUAGUCCUCUUUCCACUGAACCUUAUUGCCUCUUUACUUUAGUUGGCCAUUUGUACCUGAUCAGAAAUAUUCUGAAAUGAUAUUUGAGGAUCCGUUGUGGAGAUGGACACGGCUGGUGCUUCUCUUGGGGUUGCAGGUAAAAGAGAUCAGAACCUCUGGCUUUGUGAAUCUGAAAGGUCAGGAGGACAUUUUAGCAUCCUGAUGUCAAGAUGUGGGUUCCAUGGCCAGUGAAUCAUCAGUAUCCUAAAGAGCAAGAAGUGACUUUCGGGGGGAUGAUCUUUGGAAUCCCAGCUCAGGAGCAACUGAGACAAGGACUCAUCUCAUAGAGGUGCUGUUUUUGAAUGUUAUUCAGGUGCUGUACUAAGAGACCAGAGACUGAGAUCACAUAGUGGAGGAGAAUAUACCCAUGAGAUGUUGAGGAGAAAGGUGGGGGUUACUGUUUUUAAUUUGCUUUUUCUAUAUCUUUGAAAUAAAUGUCUUUUUGUAGGAGCCAAUCUAUGAAAGGAACUGGGACAUUAAUUACUGGCAUUUAACUGUGGAGGAAAUGGGAUGGAACACAUUCAGUGGAGACUUGAGCUAGGCACAAUAGAUAAGAAAAUCCUCAGGA